AAUUUAGCAUGUUAAUAGAGUUGCAGAAAUUUAAAUAUUAUUUUCAGGAAACGUGACUGCCUGCCACCGUUGUGUUACAUUCAUUAUGCAGAAGGCUGCGCUGACAUUUAUGGAAUAAAGAGCGAAGGCUAAAAUUGGUACUUUGGACGAAGUCCAGCUUACACCGUGUCGCUCGUCGUUGCGAAUCCUGACUCUCCAUAAACAACUCUCCAAGAAGGUCAUUUUGCUUUGAAGACAGCAUUGCAGACUCUUGGCAUUCUUUCAACCAGCUUGCAGAUGUAGCCUCCUGGAACGCUUCUCCAACAGUCCUGAAGGGGUUUCCACAAGUUCUGGGCUCAGGAGAGCCACUCGGACAAGGAUAAGCUUUGGGGUCACAGCCAAGGGUCGCCACCUUCGGCAGCCAGGGAGCUCGGGGUUAAGGGCUGUGAUCAAGGCCCAC